CUGGCGGCAGGCCUAACACAUGCAAGUCGAGCGGUAACAGAUCUAGCUUGCUAGAUGCUGACGAGCGGCGGACGGGUGAGUAACGCGUAGGAAUCUACCCAGUAGCGGGGGAUAAGCCAGAGAAAUUUGGUCUAAUACCGCAUACGCCCUUCGGGGGAAAGCAGGGGCUCUUCGGACCUUGCACUAUUGGAUGAGCCUGCGUGAGAUUAGCUAGUUGGUGAGGUAAUGGCUCACCAAGGCGACGAUCUCUAGCUGGUCUGAGAGGAUGAUCAGCCACACUGGGACUGAGACACGGCCCAGACUCCUACGGGAGGCAGCAGUGGGGAAUAUUGCACAAUGGGCGCAAGCCUGAUGCAGCCAUGCCGCGUGUGUGAAGAAGGCCUUAGGGUUGUAAAGCACUUUCAGUCGUGAGGAAAGGUGUGUGCUUAAUACGUACAUACUGUGACGUUAGCGACAGAAGAAGGACCGGCUAACUCCGUGCCAGCAGCCGCGGUAAUACGGAGGGUCCGAGCGUUAAUCGGAAUUACUGGGCGUAAAGCGCGCGUAGGUGGAUUGGUCAGUCAGAUGUGAAAGCCCAGGGCUCAACCUUGGAACUGCAUCUGAUACUGCUAGUCUAGAAUACAGUAGAGGGUAGUGGAAUUUCCUGUGUAGCGGUGAAAUGCGUAGAUAUAGGAAGGAACACCAGUGGCGAAGGCGACUACCUGGACUGAUAUGACACUGAGU
rnacentral:rRNA from 1 species